GCAGUGGUUGCUCAGUGGUAGAACACUUGCCUUCCGUUUAAGAGACCUGGGUUCAGUUCCCAGCCAAGGCA
rnacentral:tRNA from 1 species